GCUUACACAUGCAAGNNNNNCGAUGAAGCCUGGCUUGCCAGGUGGAUUANUGGCGCACGGGUGAGUAAUGUAUAGCUAACCUGCCCUUCAGUGGGGGACAACAGUUGGAAACGACUGCUAAUACCCCAUACUCCUUUUAGACACAAGUUUAAUCGGGAAAGUUUUUUCGCUGAAGGAUGGGGCUAUAUGGUAUCAGCUAGUUGGUGGGGUAACGGCCUACCAAGGCGAUGACGCCUAGCUGGUCUGAGAGGAUGAUCGGCCACACUGGAACUGAGACACGGUCCAGACUCCUACGGGAGGCAGCAGUGGGGAAUAUUGCACAAUGGAGGAAACUCUGAUGCAGCAACGCCGCGUGGAGGAUGACACAUUUCGGUGCGUAAACUCCUUUUAUAUGGGAAGAUAAUGACGGUACCAUAUGAAUAAGCACCGGCUAACUCCGUGCCAGCAGCCGCGGUAAUACGGAGGGUGCAAGCGUUUACUCGGGAAUCACUGGGCGCAAAGCGCGCGCAGGCGGCUAUUUAAGUUGGAUGUGAAAGCCUACGGCUCAACCGUA
rnacentral:rRNA from 1 species